rnacentral:lncRNA from 13 species
GAGUAAACAAGCUCUUUAGAUAAACUUUCUUACAUUUCUUUGUACCUAGUUCUGCCUAAUUGCCUCUGGAUAAGAACUGCUGCCUUUGGCUCAUUCCUCCCCAAGGCUUUUGCAAAAACCUCCCAGCCUUUCAAGAAGGGGUAAGAACUGUGUCCAACAUUCCAGAGAUGGAAUUAGCCAACUUCAUCCCCAAGUCAUCUUCAAGGGAAUUCUGAAAGGCAAGGCUUCCUGGAUCUUCUCCUGCAGAGCAGGUCACUCUGGCCACCUUCUCCUCCUGGGCAGGGAGGUGACCCAAAGUUUGGAGGAGGCUGGGCACAAGAGGCCCAGGCAGCUCUGGAGGGUGCCAUGAAGAUGGAAAAUGCCCACAGAUGCCAGCGAAACUUCCCAGGGACCCUGUGCCUCCUCCUGCCCACCACACACAGCACAGAAACAGCCUGUGAAAACGAAGGUCGGCUGGAAGUAAACAGAGACUCUCCAGCACAGUCAGAAAUCGCCAUCACACCCAC